AUGAGAUUUGGUCCUCUUGGUUCAAUGAUACAGAUUUGUAAAGACUUUCUUGUCUUACCUCCCUUUACGUAUCAGUUUUUUUGGUUGCCCCCCUUCCAUCCCUUGGCUCACGCGACCACCUAUGGGGCCUAGUCAGGAGUGGAAGGUGAGUGCAGACCCCCUGUUCCUCAUUACUGGUUGGCGAAACAUUUUCCUCCAAGAAAACAACACCUAUUUUUAUGGAGAGGAUAUUUUUCCUGAUGAGGAUUCUUUUCAAAAUAAGAAACUGCUAG